AGGAUUAACGCUGGCGGCGUGCAUGAAACAUGCAAGUCGAGCGCGGUACGUGGCUUCGGUCACGUAUCUAGCGGCGCACGGGUGAGUAACACGUGAGCAACCUACCUUCGAGUUCGGGAUAGCCCUGGGAAACCAGGAUUAAUACCGGAUGUGGUCACAACGGGACAUCCCGAUGUGAAAAAAGGCGCAAGCCGCUCGAUGACGGGCUCGCGGCCUAUUAGCUUGUUGGUGGGGUAACGGCCUACCAAGGCGACGAUGGGUAGCUGGUCUGAGAGGACGAUCAGCCACACUGGGACUGAGACACGGCCCAGACUCCUACGGGAGGCAGCAGUUAGGAAUUUUCCGCAAUGGGCGAAAGCCUGACGGAGCAACGCCGCGUGUGUGAUGAAGGCCUUCGGGUUGUAAGCACUGUCGGAGGGAAGAAUGAAUGACGGUACCCUACAAGAACGCCCGGCUAACUACGCGCCAGCAGCCGC
rnacentral:rRNA from 1 species